rnacentral:sRNA from 1 species
GGUUCUUUUACACUCCAUUUCUGAAAAUUUUGGUCCCUUUACACUCCCAUUCUGAUCCUGGUCCCACUGGAAAUCACGCCAAGAAAUGGACUGGGACCAAAUCAAACCAAACCAAAUGUGAAAUUCAUGGUCCCACCGGCCAGCCUACUGCUAUCUAUAUGAUGAUUCUGUUAAUAUCAAAGAAAAAUCUAUUUUAGAUCUGUGGAGGAUGAUCAGCAGUCAGUACUCAACAGUGGCAAUGAUGACACAUGAUAUUCUGACAAUUUCAUUGGCAGGAGUUGGUAUGGAGAGAAAGUUUAACUCAAGUCAAGAUAUUUGUCACUAUUGUCAUAGUCAAUUGCAAGGAGAAACUGUAAAGAAAUUGAUGAUGGUUAAGCAUGGAAAAGAAAAAGAAAUUGUUGAUAAGAAUUCUAUUGUGGCAGAAUUCUCUUCCAAUGAUAUAGUGGAGAAAAAAAUU